rnacentral:rRNA from 1 species
GCGUUGUCCGGAUUUAUUGGGCGUAAAGAGCGUGUAGGCGGCCAGAUAAGUCUGCUGUGAAAACUCGAGGCUCAACCUCGAGCUGUCGGCGGAAACUAUUUGGCUAGAGUCCGGAAGAGGAAAGCGGAAUUCCUGGUGUAGCGGUGAAAUGCGCAGAUAUCAGGAAGAACACCCGUGGCGAAGGCGGCUUUCUGGGACGGUACUGACGCUGAGACGCGAAAGCGUG